ensembl:lncRNA
GUUGUGGUUGCUGCUUCAUUCAAAUAGCAUCAGAGAAAAGAGAUGAAUCUACUAACAUAAUCAAUUCACAAGUUAGUACUGAAAACACAUCACAUACUGAAGGUAGGUUAAGUUUGACUUUCAAGUCAGGCAUUCUGUAACCUAUCAGACCCUCACACUCACCAGACUUCUGAUCACUGUAAUGUCUGUUUUGGGUUUUGUUUCAUGUUCAUGUUUUCAUGUCUUUUAUUUUGUCAUUGUUUGAUUUUGCUGUUUGUGUCAUGCUUCCCUUCCCCUCACGUAUCUCUGCUUUGUGUAUGUGUCAUGUUCUCAUUGGUUAUUGUCUGGUCAUGUGAUUAUCAGUUCUGUUUGUUCUCAUUGGUUGCUUUAGUCAUGUGUCUUGUUCCCAUUGGUUUGCUCUUGUCAUGUGACCCUCAUUGUUUGUAUAAGUAGUUAUGUUUUUGUCAUUAGCGCUUGUCGUAUAUUAACAUUGUAACCUGCUGUCGGUGAGUCAAGUCAAGUCAAGUCAAGUCAAGUCAAGUCAAGUCAAGUCAAGUCAAGUCAAGUCAAGUCAUUGUUUACUGUUUGCUGUUUGCUGUUUGGAUUAUAUUUGGAUUUUGGAUUGUACCAUUGUGAAUAAAACUGCACUUGGGUUCAUCGCUACGCUUGCCUUCAGUGGACUGAUCGUUACAGAAUACACGACCCUAAAAAUGAACCCAGCAGUUGUUCGUCUCCUGCGUCUUAGCCAAGGAAACCGGGCCAUUGAGGACUAUGUGGAGGACUUUUGUGGUUUGUGUCAUCUGGUGGAUUUAAAUGAUGUGGCCCUUAAGGACAUAUUUCGGGUGGGUCUUAAUGAGCCCAUUUGCUCUCAGCUUCCUGGGGGAAAAAUUCACUGGUCCCUAGAGGAAUAUAUUGACCAUGCUCUUUUCUUGGCUGGUUCAUCAUUUACUGUGGGGAUUGCUGAUGAGGAACACAGCUAUCCCACAGUACCUGCCACAUCAGAACUCUUCCACGUCCCAACCGUCAUGUCAGGAGUUGUUCACGUCUCGCCAGCAAAGCCAAGGCCUACUCACACCAUGUCUGCCAAGCCAGCACCUGUUCACGUCAUGCCUGCUACGCCAGAGCCUACUCACAUCUUAAUCUAUUGUGUUAUUCUAUUAUAUAUUAUGUUAUUUACUCAAUAUGGUAUUAUCUUAAAAAUAUUAUGCAUGACUGUGAAAGUAAUCAAUAUACUGAUCAAUAUGCUGAAUUAUUCCCAAAUACUGUUUGGAUGUAUAAAGGCCUUCCCACUGGGCAGUACUGUUAGUUUUCCAUUGAACUGCACCUGUUAACUGAAGUAACAGUAUGACUUUGGGUGAUUUCCAGAAGUUGACAGAUUUAAUGAAUGUGUUCUGGGAUCACUGCCAACCAGUAGAAGAUGGCAAAAUGAAAGUUUUCUUAAAAAUGGUUGAUAAGGCCAAGUUUCACCAAUAAAAAAUGGACCAGCUGGGCA